GCCUCAGUAGCGGCGAGUGAAGCGGCAAAAGCUCCAUUUUGAAAGCUCUUCGGAGCGUUGUAGAUUGGUGGGAAGCUAACGGCUGGUGGGAGACCAAGUCCUCUGGAACGAGGCGCCAUAGAGGGUGAGAGCCCCGUGUGUCUCCUUUACCGACCUUUCAGCCCCCUCCGCGGAGUCGAGUUGUUUGGGAAUGCAGCUCUAAGUGGGUGGUAAAUUCCAUCUAAGGCUAAAUAUUGGCGAGAGACCGAUAGCGAACAAGUACAGUGAUGGAAAGAUGAAAAGCACUUUGAAAAGAGAGUGAAACAGUACGUGAAAUUGUUGAAAGGGAAGGGUAUUUGGCCCGACAUGGGUCCUAUGCACCGUUGCCUCUCGUGGGCGGCGCUCUGCUUGGGCCUGGGCCAGCGUCAGUUUGGAGGGGGCGAGAAGGGUUUUGGGGAGUUGCCUAGCAAUUCCCCUUUGCUAGAUUGCCCCACACCGGACUGAGGACCGCCAUCUGUAGGAUGCUGGCACAACGGCCAAAUACCGCCCGUCUUGAAACACGGGACCA
rnacentral:rRNA from 1 species